rnacentral:rRNA from 1 species
CACGUAGGGGGCGAGCGUUGUCCGGAUUUAUUGGGCGUAAAGAGCUCGUAGGCGGUUUGUCGCGUCUGCUGUGAAAACCUGAGGCUCAACCUCGGGCUUGCAGUGGGUACGGGCAGACUAGAGUGCGGUAGGGGUGACUGGAAUUCCUGGUGUAGCGGUGGAAUGCGCAGAUAUCAGGAGGAACACCGAUGGCGAAGGCAGGUCACUGGGCCGCAACUGACGCUGAGGAGCGGAAAGCAUGGGGAGCGAACAGG